AACCCUUCGGGCGAAGAUAAGACGGAUUAGCGGCGGACGGGUGAGUAACACGUGAGUAACCUGCCUUUUACACAGGGAUAGCCUCGGAAACCGGGAUUAAAACCUGAUGAAACUAUCAAAUCACAUGAUUAAGAAAGUUAAAACUCCGGUGGUAAAAGAUGGACUCGCGUCCCAUUAGCUAGUUGGUGAAGGUAACGGCCCACCAAGGCAACGAUGGGUAGCCGGCCUGAGAGGGUGAACGGCCACAUUGGAACUGAGAAACGGUCCAAACUCCUACGGGAGGCAGCAGGC
rnacentral:rRNA from 1 species